rnacentral:lncRNA from 1 species
GUGAGCGACAUUCCCGCGUGGGUCGGGUACCCGUCGCAUUGGUGGCUGGGGCCGGGCUUCAUGGAGAGACCGUCAGUGCCGCCCUAGCUCCAGAAGAAAGGAUUUUGUUUUGCCAGUUAUUGUAGUUGCUAAUGUCAUCAUCUACAUCAUUAUCAUCAUCGUAUUUUAAUUAAAAUAAUCGUCCAGGAGCAAGCGGCUUGUCCCUUUCAGCUUCUUUGGAGCGAUAACAAAGCAGCGCGGUUUCCCCCACCAGCUCUGUUUUGUAAGUUGCUGCAUUUGGGGUUAGGGAGAGAAGAUGGAGAGAGGGACAGACACAGAGAGUCGGUCAUAAAGCACAAAUUAACCCCGACCUCGGACACCAGGAGGGAGUGGAUUCCCCCUUCCUCCCACCGCGCCCCCCUAUUUGGAUCAGAAGAGGAGAAAGAAAAUCUCCCGCGUUGGGUUCAAAGCGCAAGGAAGAAUUAUUCUUGUAUUUCCACCAAAGCUGGGGCAAAAAUAAGGAGGUCUUUGCAUUUAAUCCAAGACUUCCAUGUGUGAUCAUAAACUGGACGAUUUAGGGAAAACACAUUGAACAAAACCCUCCGGAGGGGGAAAAAAGCGACCUAAAUCUCGCUACCGCUACACCCUAGGAAGCAGCGUUGGAUUUGCACACCCCCCUCCCCCCCCCCCCCCCCCACCCCGCGCUUUGCCUUGUUUACUGCUGUAAGGAAUUGUUAGAAUUCUCCCCUCCUCUGCCGGUCCGAACGCUGAAAAAUCGAAAAUCCGAAAAAUCGAAAAUCGUUGCGUAGGAAUGGUUGAGGGGCCGGCACGGGGUUCUUUCUUUUUUCUUUUUCUUCAUCAGUAGGAAGAAAAGAAGGGACCCGGAUAGAUCAGAUAUCCCGCCCCCUCCUCCCCAUCCUCUCGACCGCCCAGGACCACACCGCGGCCUAACUGCUGGUCUCCCAGCGAGAGAGGGGGAAAGGAAAGACCCUCGUUCACAGGCUGGACCUCGGCUCCCGCCUCUCUCCGGCGGAGGAGUGAGAUCCUAUUCAGAGGGACCGGUCUCUCUAAAUAUGCCCCAGGAGCUCCGGGGAUCCCCGUCUUGUUCAGGCACACAUGGAAACGUGUGGCGGUGAGGCAACAGGAGAUGAAGAUCCGCUUUUGGGGGCUGCGAGCUGGGUCUUGGCCGCGCAAAGACAGAGGAGUUGUAGUGGUCGAAUACUGUAGUGUGACUCAGAUCGAAACCUUCGCCCCGAUCCUUCAUCCUCCCCAAAUAAAAACAAACAAAAAUCA